GGGGCGCUUCGAGCCGGGACUGCAUACGGGCCCCGAGGCCAGUUUCCUGCUGUCGUAAGAAGCCGCUCCAGGACGACCCCCGGACCCCGAGCUGCUGGGAGGAUGACCAUGGCUGGGGGCAGGAGGGGACUGGUGGCCCCUCAAAACACGUUUCUGGAGAAUAUUGUCCGGCGGUCCAAUGAUACUAAUUUUGUGUUGGGGAAUGCUCAGAUAGUGGACUGGCCUAUUGUGUACAGCAAUGAUGGAUUUUGCAAGCUGUCUGGCUAUCACAGGGCAGAAGUGAUGCAAAAAAGCAGCACCUGCAGUUUUAUGUAUGGGGAGCUGACUGAUAAAGACACGAUUGAAAAAGUGCGGCAAACAUUUGAGAACUAUGAGAUGAAUUCUUUUGAAAUUCUUAUGUACAAGAAGAACAGGACACCUGUGUGGUUCUUUGUGAAAAUUGCUCCAAUUCGAAACGAACAGGAUAAAGUGGUUUUAUUUCUUUGCACUUUCAGUGACAUAACAGCUUUCAAACAGCCAAUUGAGGAUGAUUCAUGUAAAGGCUGGGGGAAGUUUGCUCGGCUGACAAGAGCACUGACAAGCAGCAGGGGUGUCCUGCAGCAGCUGGCUCCAAGCGUGCAAAAAGGCGAGAAUGUCCACAAGCACUCCCGCCUGGCAGAGGUCCUACAGCUGGGCUCAGACAUCCUUCCCCAGUACAAGCAAGAGGCACCAAAGACUCCCCCUCACAUCAUCUUACAUUAUUGUGUUUUUAAGACCACGUGGGAUUGGAUCAUCUUGAUCUUGACCUUCUAUACAGCCAUCUUGGUCCCUUAUAAUGUCUCCUUCAAAACCAGGCAGAACAAUGUGGCCUGGCUGGUUGUAGAUAGCAUCGUGGAUGUUAUCUUUUUGGUGGACAUUGUGCUCAAUUUUCAUACCACCUUUGUUGGACCAGCAGGGGAGGUGAUUUCUGACCCCAAACUUAUCCGCAUGAACUACCUGAAGACGUGGUUUGUGAUUGACCUUCUGUCCUGUUUGCCAUAUGAUGUCAUCAACGCUUUUGAGAACGUGGAUGAGGGCAUCAGCAGCCUGUUCAGCUCUCUAAAAGUUGUCCGGCUGCUCCGUCUUGGGCGAGUGGCCCGUAAGCUGGACCACUACAUUGAAUAUGGAGCUGCUGUGCUGGUCCUGCUGGUGUGUGUGUUUGGGCUGGCGGCACACUGGAUGGCCUGCAUCUGGUACAGCAUUGGGGACUAUGAGAUCUUUGACGAGGACACCAAGACAAUCCGCAACAACAGCUGGCUGUACCAACUAGCGAUGGACAUUGGCACCCCUUACCAGUUUAAUGGGUCUGGCUCAGGGAAGUGGGAAGGUGGUCCCAGCAAGAAUUCUGUCUACAUCUCCUCGUUGUAUUUCACAAUGACCAGCCUCACCAGUGUGGGCUUUGGGAACAUCGCCCCAUCCACAGACAUUGAGAAGAUCUUUGCAGUGGCCAUCAUGAUGAUUGGCUGUAAGUAUGACAGUGCUGGGGUGGGGGUGGCCAUCUCUUCUGUUAGCUGGAAAUAGGGAAAUGGCUACCGUGCCAGCAGGAUCAGGAGAAUAAUAACUUAAAACAAGGAAGAGAUUUUUUUUAAGACUAGGCUUACAGUUACCCUGAUAAUUAAAGCAGUAUAUGCUUACUGCAAAAAAAUUUAGAAAAUACAAAAGAGUGCAAAGUAGAAAGUAAAGACUAUCCAUAAUUCUGCUUCUCAGAGAUAACUAAUACUGUUGGUGUCUUCCCUUACAGACUAUUUUCUUUGCAUAUCUGAAUCCAUAUAGAUUUUUAUAAACUUAAAAUGAGACCUUGCUGCAUACGCACUUUGGUAAACUAUUCAUAGAACAGUGAAUUAUGGAAGUCUUUUCAUGUCAAUUUUUUUCUUUUUAAUAAAAAUUGUGUAUAUUUAAAGUAUGCAAUGAGAUGUUUUGAUAUAGUGAAA
rnacentral:sRNA from 1 species